UGGACGUUAAAAAAAGAAUUUAUUUGAACAAAUAUUAGACACAAUCACAGAGGAAGAAAGCAGCUCUCAGUUUCUUUUCCAGAAUGAAAUAAUCCCUGUUUCAUACCAAGCUACUGCAGGACAACCCUUCCUCUCCUCAGCAGGAGGGAGGCUGGUGUUCUUCCCACCCGUGGAGCUGCUCCAUAGGGGUAUGAUGCACUCCUUUGCAGGCUACACCACAGCUCUCAGUCUCACAGGCUAAAGAAAUGCAUAAAGACCCCACAGACAAACUGAACUAGUGGUACAGCAAAGGUGCCUGGCCAGGUAAGAAAUACAUGUAGGGAUGCACUGCUGAGUGAGAGCUCUACUCAAGAAGUGGUGUCCUGUUAAGAGGUGCGUAGGACAUGACACUUCUAGCUACGGCCUCUGUACUCCCCAUCUCUUGGGACUCCUCACUGAACCCUCACUGAUGGCGUUUCAGCUGGGGGAGUCCUUCCAACAUUCAGCUCAUUUUUGCCACACCAUCUUUUCCAGGUCUCUAGGCCUCAUCCUGCAAGCAGCUCCAAGGCUGUGAACCACUUCCCUUUGCAAGACCUGCCCACCUCUUUCAUACUGUCAUACUGCCCAUGCAGACAGCAGGCUUGUCUCAUGUCCUGGGGACUACAUGAGCUGCACCACGAAGAGAAAUGGUUGUGAGAGAUGUUUUGGGCAUUUGUUUGGAUCCAGAGCCAUACUGCGUUACUUCGUGUUUUUUACGGGCCCACUUAGCUCAGGUAUGCUGGGUUUCGGAGCAGGGCAAAUAAUCCACAGCUAUGUCACCUUCUCCAGAGUGUUCCCAAACUGAUGGGCCAUGGCCAGAUGCAGAUAAUACCCUGAGUAUUGAAGGCAUUGCCUGACAGACCUGUCAUACUCUCUGCUACAUAAACCAGAACGAAAUGUCUGUGAAAGAAGUUUGAGAAAUUCAUGCAAGUUCUGUAAUAAAAUGUGAAUAGAUCCACUGGGAAAUGAAACCCCUGGGAAAGAGGUGAGAGGGGAACAGAGCAAACAUAGUGAAUGUUUUUCUCUGGCAGCAACUUCAUGGAUUUCCUUUCUUUUGAUUUCAACAGAUCAAACAGUGACUUUUAAGAAAGGGAAGCAUAAUGGAAAGAAGCCCUGAGCCCUUCAUUCCUGUUCUGCAGCCUCAGAAAGAACUGUACAAGGUAAAUUCUGUUCUCCUGCGUAGAUCUGAAACUGAGGGGUUUACUGACCAAAAGAAACUUUCUCACUACAACCCCCUUCUUUUGAUUCAGAACUCAAUGUAUGGACAAUUUUACUUUGAAAUUGAGAUCACAAGCAAAUUUUCCAGGUCCUUAGAAGAUUCCCUGAAUAUCAGCAUCUCAACUAAGUAGAAUCACAACUUUCAUUUAACAAUGUUCAUUCUUCUUUCCUUCUCCAUCUCCCUUUCUUCCUUCCAUCUCUCUUUUCCCUUUUUAUUCCCUUCCUUUUCUUUCAUUACAUUCGUCUCUUCUUUCAUUACACACAUGGCUCUCCAUCCACAUUUCACCUCUUGGUACUGUUAUAAACCCUUUGCUGACAGUUUUGUCUCUGCUAGACAGAUAGAGCCACUCAUCACUGUUCCUCACCUUUUCCUUCUCUCCAAACAUCACACACACACAAGGCCUUUCAAAAUAGGUUCCCAAGUUAAUGACUACCUCUUGAGAUAGGACUAUAGCACUGGCAUCCAUUGGACUACAGAGUCCCCUCAGAGAACAUUUUGCUUAAAGAAUUACUGUAGCUCCCAGUGCCUGCUAAUGGUCUUUAUUUGCGAAAACCUUCUCAAGGGUACUCACAACACAGGGCCUUUAAGAGUGAGCGCUACUUGUUCACAGCUAAGUGACUUGUACCUAUUUUGGCAAGCAGAAUCAGAGGGGGAUCCCAAAUCUCUCAUUACAAACUCUGCAUCCCAUGUCUGAUCACUUUGCAGUCGCCUGUAACUGCUCUACUCUCUGCCAAGCCUGUAAAUCAGGCAAAACAUAGGCAGACUUCACAAGUCCCUCGCAUUUAUUAUGCUGCGUCGGAACUCUGUGUUAGCCUCAGACAGAAAACUGGUCAUUCUGAACAAUGUAAGGAACCUGCCUGUUCUGAGGUACUGAGUUGUGAUGUAUGAAAGGCUCCCAUUAGUCUGGGACACUACAGAC
ensembl:lncRNA